rnacentral:lncRNA from 1 species
GAGCGAAACAAUGUGACGAAGUGAAAAAAGGAAGGACAUUAAUGCUACUGUUAUGCCACUUUAAGAGAAUUAUUCCAGUCCGCUCGGAAUAAUUAAUCUGUUGUACAACAUUUGAUGAGGUGCUCACCAAAUUACUGCUACAUGCUGCAUUAAAAAUUUUGUCAGCUUUGUUCUGCUUUGGAAUCCUGUGCUUAUGAGAACUUUACCUUAGGCAGAGUUCAAUGGAUUGAAGAAAAUGUUCACGGAAGGAAGAUGAUUAAUUGAUCCAGAGGGCCUGUAGCAACUCUGUUUAACAUGCUAGAUGAGCCAGUCUUAUUCAGUGAUGACUAAGGAUCUAGAGAAAACUGGUGUCAGAAUACAAAAGAUUAAAUGGAAGGCUCUGGAGCCCUGAGGAAUAGCAGUUACUAGACUGAAGGAACCUGAGUUUCUAGAUUGCGAUGUUGAGCAGAGUCCCUGCUAACCCAGGAAAACUCUGAUGUGAGAAAGAAGAAAACCCGGAUUGCACUAACUCACCGAGAUUUCGAAGUUUAGUUGUUCGGCGAUGAACUUGUCCUGAACAACAUAGAGGAACAGUGGGAAAUACAUGGAGUGUGCUUAUAAGAAGCUAUGGUAGGCAGGAUUUCAAGAUGUCCUUGUGAUCUCUGCCUCCUUGUGUUUCUCCCAUGACUAUGUCAUGUUCCACAGCAAAAGGGAUUUUGCAAUGUAUUAAGGGUACUGAACGGUUGACCUUAAGAUCGUGGGAUUAUCUGGGUGGGCCUAAUUUCAUCACAUGAGUCCUGUAAAAGAAGUGAAUUUUCUCUAUUUGGUAGCAGAAGAGGCAGUCAGAGACAUCUGAAGUGUGAGAGGGAUUCAGUGCUGAAAUGGAGAAGGUCACAUGGUAAGAACCUGAGAGUGGCUUCUGGUAGCUGAGAGUGAUCCUUGGCAAGAUAAUGGAACCUUAGUCCUAGAGCCUCAAGGAAAUUAAUUCUGCUGACAAUCUGAGGGAACUUUGAAGCAGAUCUUUUCCUAGUUGAGCCUCCAAGUAAGGAUUUAGCUAGCUAGCUGGUACUUUAAUUUGAGCCUUAUGAGUCUCUGAGCAGAGGACCCAGGGAAAUAAAGUCAGGCUCCUAAUGCAUGGUGAUGAUGACGUGAUAAGUGUGUUUUGUUAAGCUACUAAGUUUGUGGUAAUUUUUAAUGUAGCAAUAAAAAACUAAUGCAGAGAGUGAAAAGUGCUGUGUCUAAGAUAUGUGGCAAAAUCAGGGUUAGUCCAUGCUGGUGUCACCAUCCAAGGAAUUGGAUCUGGUGAGCAGAAUGUGGCAGCAGGAGGCAGUGUGAUGGUGACAGUCACAAGGAGAUGGGUUCUGGGGCUGCAGUUUGAGGGUUGAAGCAGCUGCUGUGGAUUUAAGGAUCUGAGAACUCAGGCACAGAAGAGGAGGUCUGGCAAAAUCUGGGCAGAUUUUGCCCAAGAAAUGGCCUGGGGUCAGAGAUUGAGUCUAAAUCUCAGUGUCAAGAACUGAAGUUCACUUAAUUCUUUUUUUUAAAGAAACUUCUCGUUUAAUAAACUAGGCUGCUGAUUUUGAGAUAUUUACUUAUGAUUUUUUCAUGGUUCUUCAGAAUUAUCUCAGAGGGGUCUGAGAGGCUGAGCAGACAUAGCCUUAGUGACCCAUUUCUGUUUUAGCCAGGGCAGCCCUGCAUGUAGGUAUUUAUAUUUAGGGUUCCAUAUGACACUGCUCUUGGAAAAAGACCUUCAUUACUAAGACUGUUAGAAAAUGCCUAAUUUAGGGAAAAGCCAAGUAUCUUUGGGAAAAUGUGGGGGCUUCUCCUACAUAAGGAAGCAAGGCUAACUCUAGACCCCACAAGAGAGGGCUUGGUUCUCAUUGGUUCAGGUUCUGGCUGGAAUGAGACUGAAGGAUAAAAUACCCUAGGCAAGGCUGGGCAAUCAAGGACUGGACAAGAUCUUGCUUGGCUUUAAAGGAUCCCCUACACAAUCCUCAGAGAUGGAAGCACAAUAGAUAAGGAUAUGUAAAAAUAUUAUGUACAAUACACAUUAUACAUAUAUAUAUACACAUAUAUGUAUAUGUAUAAAACAUGGAUUUCCUGACCUGCUCAUCUAAUCUGGCUCAUUUUGUGUCAAUUCCAGUGUCUUCAUUUCUAAUAAAUAUUUAUUAAAUACCUGUGUGUGCCAGGCCUUGAACUUAGACCUGGGGAUCCAGAAGUAAGAACAAGAAGGGAGAGAGAGGGAAACAAGACAAUACAUGAUCACAUCAGGUUCAGACAAGAAAACAAGUUUGACUUUCUGAUUGUGGCAAUUCCAUGGGAAAGGAGCAAUGCGAUCUCCAGUUUGACACAGGGCUGCUAUGCAGGAACAGCACCCUGGAGUGACCAAAAAUAAAGGCAGCAAGCACCUGGAAGCCCAGGCCUCUGUCUUUUAACUCAGUUAAUGAGAUCUUUGGCAUAACCAUGUAUACACAUGAAAUUUUCUCCUCCUCAGUCUCUAAUUGUACCAAUUUAGUUGCCAU